AACAAUUCAUUUAACAUCAAAUUAACAUAUUCAAACAUAUCUCUACCACAUAAGCACGAAUUUCAAAGAUUGGGUUCAUGAUAAUCACUUAUUCUCAUAAUCAAUUAUGCAUAGAACAAGAGAAAAAGAAUUAACUAAAUGAUUAUGAUAAAGGCUAACCCCCUUACCUUAAUUAUCUCCAACUAUUAGCUCUAGCUUCACUUUUGCUCCUAUGAUUCUUCAAACCCUUGAAUUCUUCAAGCUCUCCCUCUUCUCUCUAACCCUUGUUCUUC
rnacentral:lncRNA from 1 species